AACGAACGCUGGCGGCGUGCCUAAUACAUGCAAGUCGAGCGGAAGUUGAAGAGCUUGCUCUUCAACUUUAGCGGCGGACGGGUGAGUAACACGUGGGCAACCUGCCCUGCAGAUCGGGAUAACUCCGGGAAACCGGUGCUAAUACCGAAUAGUUUUCGCCACCUCCUGGUGGCGUACGGAAAGACGGUUUCGGCUGUCACUGCAGGAUGGGCCCGCGGCGCAUUAGCUAGUUGGUGGGGUAACGGCCCACCAAGGCGACGAUGCGUAGCCGACCUGAGAGGGUGAUCGGCCACACUGGGACUGAGACACGGCCCAGACUCCUACGGGAGGCAGCAGUAGGGAAUCUUCCGCAAUGGACGAAAGUCUGACGGAGCAACGCCGCGUGAGUGACGAAGGUUUUCGGAUCGUAAAACUCUGUUGUGAGGGAAGAACAAGUACCAACUAACUACUGGUACCUUGACGGUACCUCACCAGAAAGCCACGGCUAACUACGUGCCAGCAGCCGCAGUAAAAC
rnacentral:rRNA from 1 species